rnacentral:misc_RNA from 1 species
CGGUGCUUAAAUCAUUGAGGGGUGUCUCUGCAGACCUGAAUAGUCUUGUUGAUGGUUACAGUGUGGUUGCUGGAGGCUUGUGGUUUUCUGGUGUGGGUUUGGAAGCUUGAAGCAUCAGAGUAUUCCUCUUUGAUCGUUUCACUCACUCCUCUCGUUCUGUCUCUCAUCCACCAUUAACGCUCUUCUUCCCUUUCUCUGUCUUAGCUCUCCUUUCCCCUCAUCUUUGUCUGCGUCGCCCCUACCUCUCCUCACUCAUCAUUUCCUUCCUCGGUCCCUUCUUCUCUCGGCUUAAACUCUCCUCCAUGAAAGCAGCUCUGCUUCACCCCAAGUCUCUCCUCCCUCUCUCGCGACCUUAUCGAGAUCUUAAAGCCGUCGAUUCUCCUCAUCUCAGCAUCUAAUAUGAUCACCAAACCCCGCCGUCAGCAACGCGAUAGCCUACUGGUUUCGCAUCCUCAGACUUUGCUCACGCCCUGCCAUCUUACAACAGCAUGCCUUCGCUUGCCGAGGAGAUUCAGAUGGCCAAGCAGAAAAACUCAGGAAAUAGCAGCUCGCUGAUCGAGAGGAGUCAGGAUGACUUAUAAUUCAGGGGCUUAACUUUUCUCAAUCAAGAAUGUUGAUGUUUAAUUGGCACAAGCAUUAGA